GCGGCUGGAAGAGCACCGCACGU
rnacentral:snRNA from 1 species